GAUGAACGCUGGCGGCGUGCCUAACACAUGCAAGUCGAGCGAGGGUUUGCUCAGUAUUGAGUAUUCUAAGACUAGAAUGUUCAAUUCUGAGCAAAACCAAGCGGCGGACGGGUGAGUAACGCGUGGGUAACCUGCCCUAUACACAUGGAUAACAUACUGAAAAGUUUACUAAUACAUGAUAAUAUAUAUUUGUGGCAUCGCAGAUAUAUCAAAGUGUUAGCGGUAUAGGAUGGACCCGCGUCUGAUUAGCUAGUUGGUGAGAUAACUGCCCACCAAGGCGACGAUCAGUAGCCGACCUGAGAGGGUGAUCGGCCACAUUGGAACUGAGACUCGGUCCAAACUCCUACGGGAGGCAGCAGUGGGGAAUAUUGCACAAUGGGCGAAAGCCUGAUGCAGCAACGCCGCGUGAACGAUGAAGGUCUUCGGAUCGUAAAGUUCUGUUGCAGGGGAAGAUAAUGACGGUACCCUGUGAGGAAGCCCCGGCUAACUACGUGCCAGCAGCCGCGGUAAUACGUAGGGGGCUAGCGUUAUCCGGAUUUACUGGGCGUAAAGGGUGCGUAGGUGGUCCUUCAAGUCGGUGGUUAAAGGCUACGGCUCAACCGUAGUAAGCCGCCGAAACUGGAGGACUUGAGUGCAGGAGAGGAAAGUGGAAUUCCCAGUGUAGCGGUGAAAUGCGUAGAUAUUGGGGAGGAACACCAGUAGCGAAGGCGGCUUUCUGGACUGCAACUGACACUGAGGCACGAAAAGCGUGGGUAGCAAACAGGG
rnacentral:rRNA from 1 species